CAGUAGCCGCGGUAAUACGUAGGGUCCGAGCGUUGUCCGGAAUUACUGGGCGUAAAGAGCUCGUAGGUGGUUUGUCGCGUUGUUCGUGAAAACUCACAACUCAAUUGUGGGCGUGCGGGCGAUACGGGCAGACUGGAGUACUGCAGGGGAGACUGGAAUUCCUGGUGUAGCGGUGGAAUGCGCAGAUAUCAGGAGGAACACCGGUGGCGAAGGCGGGUCUCUGGGCAGUAACUGACGCUGAGGAGCGAAAGCGUGGGGAGCGAACAGGAUUAGAUACCCCUGUAGUCCCUGUCUCUUAUAC
rnacentral:rRNA from 1 species